CGCGGAGAGGCUGCGCGCCUCCGUGCGGGCGGCUGCGGGGCCGGGGGGCUCCGAGGGAAGCGGGUCGGAGCUCGAGGAUCCCAGCUCCGCCGGGUGGGCAGCGCAGGGCGAGCGGCAAAGCCUCCGCGUCCCGCUGUCACCGUCCGAAGGUGCGACCUGGGCUGAAAGCUGCCCAGCGCGGCGCGGGGGCUCCCGGCUUGUGCGGAACAGAAGCGUGCGUUAUUGUAUGACUUAGUGCUCAUGAGUGUCUCGUCGAGCUGAACGCAUUUACCACGGAACGGACCCACUGAGAACAGUGGUGUCAGCCCCCCCCCCCCCCCCACACCCACACACCUUUAGCCUCUGUGUUUUGUAGCAGUGAGGGAAGAGAAAUCAGAAGGAGAGAGGAGGGUAUGGUGCUGGCAAGAAGUGCAGCACGCUGUGUGCCUCACCCUGCUUUCUGAGGAUGUCUGGUUGUCCGGUGGGGUUCCUGCAUACUGACAAGUGUUCUGCCUGUGGAUGAAAGCCCUGCUUGCUCCAGCUGUUUUCAUUUCCCAUUCCAGCAGAGCUCAGCAGAUGGAUCUAGAUGGGAAGGAAGUCCAGUGUUGGAAGUCCAGAGCUGGAAACCUGACAAGUAAUGAGAGCUGGAAGGGAGUCCAGUUCCUCCAGUGA
rnacentral:lncRNA from 1 species